rnacentral:rRNA from 1 species
UACGGAGGGUGCAAGCGUUAUCCGGAUUCACUGGGUUUAAAGGGAGCGUAGGUGGGCUGGUAAGUCAGUGGUGAAAUCUCCGGGCUUAACUCGGAAACUGCCGUUGAUACUAUUAGUCUUGAAUUUUGUUGAGGUAGGCGGAAUAAGUCAUGUAGCGGUGAAAUGCAUAGAUAUGACUUAGAACACCAAUUGCGAAGGCAGCUUGCUAAACAAAUAUUGACGCUGAGGCACGAAAGCGUGGGGAUCAAACAGG